rnacentral:antisense_RNA from 1 species
AUCGAAUAGGAUUUCCAUUGGGGUCAAAAGAAAUUCAUUUAAAAUAAAUAUCCGGAUAAACCUAAUAAUAAAAAUAAUGGUUUAUCCGGUUUUAUUUUGUUUAAGUUUUAAUUUUGGCAGGGAAUUUGGCAGAAAAUAAUAAAUAAUUAUUAAAAACUGUAAGGAUAAAAAAGUCGAUUCAUUUUAGCAUUUCUUCUAAUGCUUUCGCAGCAUUUGCUUGCAUAUUUCGGAUCGUUCUCUUUUUUCCUUUAAUUCAAAGCCGCUUCUUUUAUAUCAACCUGGUUUGCCAAUGGUGCACUCCGAUGCAGCCAUUUGUAGCAAAUCGGUACCAUGAAGAGACUAAUAAAGGUAGAACUUACCAGACCACCGAUGACCACAAUGCCAAGCGUUUGCGAGAUCACCGUAUCGGUACGUGAUGAAAAGGCAAGCGGAAUCAAAGUUAAAAUGGUGGUGAAAGCUGUUGUCAAAAUCGGCCGUAUCCGGGUGAGCGUCCCCUGUAAAAUUGCCUCCUCCAGUUUCAUGCCGGCUGCGAUGUUUCGCUCGACUUUAUCAACAAGAACGAUGCCAUUGGUCACAACAAUUCCCGUCAACAUCAAUAAACCGACAAAGGCCGCCAGAUUCCAUUCCAGUUUAAAAAUAACCAUGCUGAUGACCGAGCCGAUAAACGCGAGCGGUAUGCACAGCAAGACGGAAAGAGGGGCUUUCCAGCCGCGGAAAACAACACUGAUGAUGAAAAGCACCAGAAAGACGGAAAUGAAUAAAGCAAAUCCCAUCUCAACCAUCAUUUCAUACACCUGCUGCGGGGCACCCGCAAAGGAAACCUUUAUGCCUUCCGGAAGCG